rnacentral:rRNA from 1 species
CCUACGGGAGGCAGCAGUAGGGAAUAUUGCUCAAUGGGGGAAACCCUGAAGCAGCAACGCCGCGUGGAGGAUGAAGGUUUUCGGAUUGUAAACCCCUUUUGUUAGAGAAGAUAAUGACGGUAUCUAACGAAUAAGCACCGGCUAACUCGGUGCCAGCAGCCGCGGUAAUACGGAGGGUGCAAGCGUUACUCGGAAUAACUGGGCGUAAAGAGCGCGUAGGCGGGAUAGCGAGUCAGAUGUGAAAUCCUAUGGGUUAACCAUAGAACUGCAUUUGAAACUGUUAUUCUAGAGUAUGGGAGAGGUAGGUGGAAUUCUUGGUGUAGCGGUGAAAUCCGUAGAGAUCAAGAGGAAUACUCAUUGCGAAGGCGACCUGCUAGAACAUAACUGACGCUGAUGCGCGAAAGCGUGGGGAGCAAACAGGAUUAGAUACCCCGGUAGUC